AGUACAGAGAGCCUAUGGGAGUAACCAUGUCAACUGAGGUCAACAUCACUGACCUCAGAACCUGACAUCACAGGCAACGAGAUGAAAGGAGAGAGAAAGGAGGAGCUGACUCCUGUUCUCUCCCCAAAGAGAUCAGUAUCUUGAGAAGAAGGAUGAGAAGAAGGAUGUAUAACACUAUCCUCCCUGAAUUUCCCUGGAGCACUACCCUGCUAUCCUGGGUUGCUGUCUUUCUACUGGCAUCAAAACACAUGGAGGCUGCUGUCACCCAAAGCCCAAGAAAUAAGGUGACAGUAACAGGAAAAACUGUGACACUGAGCUGUCACCAGAAUGAUAACCACAACUAUAUGUACUGGUAUCGGCAGGAUACGGGACAUGGUCUGAGGCUUAUCUAUUACUCAUAUGGUGCUGGCAGCUUUGACAAAGGAGAUAUCCCUGAUGGGUACAAUGCCUCCAGAACAAGGCUAGAAGACUUCUCCCUCAUUCUGAAGUUGGCUUCCCCCUCUCAGACAUCUGUGUACUUCUGUGCCAGCAGUGAUGCACAGUGGCGUGUGGCUUCCUGUCCUCUGCACAGAAAGGAAAUUAGGAAAACAAAUUGCCUGUGUGCCCCAGGAAGUCCCUGCCUCCAUAAGAGUCACUGA